GACGAACGCUGGCGGCGUGCCUAAUACAUGCAAGUCGAACGCUGAAGGAGGAGCUUGCUUCUCUGGAUGAGUUGCGAACGGGUGAGUAACGCGUAGGUAACCUGCCUGGUAGCGGGGGAUAACUAUUGGAAACGAUAGCUAAUACCGCAUAAGAGUAGAUGUUGCAUGACAUUUGCUUAAAAGGUGCAAUUGCAUCACUACCAGAUGGACCUGCGUUGUAUUAGCUAGUUGGUGGGGCAACGGCUCACCAAGGCGACGAUACAUAGCCGACCUGAGAGGGUGAUCGGCCACACUGGGACUGAGACACGGCCCAGACUCCUACGGGAGGCAGCAGUAGGGAAUCUUCGGCAAUGGACGGAAGUCUGACCGAGCAACGCCGCGUGAGUGAAGAAGGUUUUCGGAUCGUAAAGCUCUGUUGUAAGAGAAGAACGAGUGUGAGAGUGGAAAGUUCACACUGUGACGGUAUCUUACCAGAAAGGGACGGCUAACUACGUG
rnacentral:rRNA from 1 species